rnacentral:rRNA from 1 species
CCUGUCGGUGUAACUGGCAUGUCGCGGCAUGUCCUGUCGGUGGUGAACGGGAUCCCCGGUGCUGUUUUAGGCUUAAUUGCCGAAGCAAGUAUCGUGUGUUUUCCGUUUGCCGAUCUCUCCUACUCCGGUGCUCUUAAACGAGUGUCGAGGUAGGCCGACACGUUCACUUUGAACAAAUUAGAGUGCUUAAAGCAGGCUGAAAUAUCUGCCUGAAUAGUGGUGCAUGGAAUGAUAAAACAGGACCUCGGUUCUAUUUUGUUGGUUUUAGGAAUAUGAGGUAAUGAUCAAUGUGGACUGGCGGGGGCAUUCGUAUUGCGACGUUAGAGGUGAAAUUCUUGGAUCGUCGCAAGACGCACUAGAGCGAAAGCAUUUGCCAAGUAUGUCUUAAUUGAUCAAGAACGAAAGUUAGAGGUUCGAAGGCGAUCAGAUACCGCCCUAGUUCUAACCAUAAACGAUGCCAGCCAGCGAU